UACGGUAGGGUGCGAGCGUUUGUCCGGAAUUACUGGGCGUAAAGAGCUCGUAGGCGGUCUGUCGCGUCGGCUGUGAAACUCGGGCUCAACUCCGAGCUUGCAGUCGAUACGGGCAGGCUCGAGUUCGGUAGGGAGGACUGGAAUUCCUGGUGUAGCGGUGAAAUGCGCAGAUAUCAGGAGGAACACCGGUGGCGAAGGCGGGUCUCUGGGCCGGUAUACUGACGCUGAGGAGCGAAAGCGUGGGGAGCGAACAGG
rnacentral:rRNA from 1 species